ACAUCCAGCGAACUUGGCAGAGAUGCCUUGGUGCCUUCGGGAACGCUGAGACAGGUGCUGCAUGGCUGUCGUCAGCUCGUGUUGUGAAAUGUUGGGUUAAGUCCCGNAACGAGCGCAACCCUUAUCCUUUGUUGCCAGCGAUUCGGUCGGGAACUCAAAGGAGACUGCCGGUGAUAAACCGGAGGAAGGUGGGGAUGACGUCAAGUCAUCAUGGCCCUUACGAGUAGGGCUACACACGUGCUACAAUGGCGCAUACAAAGAGAAGCGACCUCGCGAGAGCAAGCGGACCUCAUAAAGUGCGUCGUAGUCCGGAUCGGAGUCUGCAACUCGACUCCGUGAAGUCGGAAUCGCUAGUAAUCGUGGAUCAGAAUGCCACGGUGAAUACGUUCCCGGGCCUUGUACACACCGCCCGUCACACCAUGGGAGUGGGUUGCAAAAGAAGUAGGUAGCUUAACCUUCGGGAGGGCGCUUACCACUUUGUGAUUCAUGACUGGGUGAAGUCGUAACAAGGUAAGCGUAGCGAG
rnacentral:rRNA from 1 species